UACGUAGGUCCCGAGCGUUGUCCGGAUUUAUUGGGCGUAAAGCGAGCGCAGGUGGUUUAUUAAGUCUGGUGUAAAAGGCAGUGGCUCAACCAUUGUAUGCAUUGGAAACUGGUAGACUUGAGUGCAGGAGAGGAGAGUGGAAUUCCAUGUGUAGCGGUGAAAUGCGUAGAUAUAUGGAGGAACACCGGUGGCGAAGGCGGUCUGCUGGACAGCAACUGACGCUGAGGCGCGAAAGCGUGGGGAGCAAACAGG
rnacentral:rRNA from 1 species